UGGGGAAUUUUGGACAAUGGGGGAAACCCUGAUCCAGCCAUCCCGCGUGUGCGAUGAAGGCCUUCGGGUUGUAAAGCACUUUUGGCAGGAAAGAAACGUCGCGGGUUAAUACCCCGCGAAACUGACGGUACCUGCAGAAUAAGCACCGGCUAACUACGUGCCAGCAGCCGCGGUAAUACGUAGGGUGCAAGCGUUAAUCGGAAUUACUGGGCGUAAAGCGUGCGCAGGCGGUUCGGAAAGAAAGAUGUGAAAUCCCAGAGCUUAACUUUGGAACUGCAUUUUUAACUACCGGGCUAGAGUGUGUCAGAGGGAGGUGGAAUUCCGCGUGUAGCAGUGAAAUGCGUAGAUAUGCGGAGGAACACCGAUGGCGGAGGCAGCCUCCUGGGAUAACACUGACGCUCAUGCACGAAAGCGUGGGGAGCAAACAGGAUUAGAUACCCUGGUAGUCCACGCCCUAAACGAUGUCAACUAGCUGUUGGGGCCUUCGGGCCUUGGUAGCGCAGCUAACGCGUGAAGUUGACCGCCUGGGGAGUACGGUCGCAAGAUUAAAACUCAAAGGAAUU
rnacentral:rRNA from 1 species